rnacentral:misc_RNA from 1 species
GAGAGGGGUGUGGAAGUGGCGGGCGGCCAUGCAGAUGUCACGUGACGUGACGUCACACUGCGGGGGAGACUGUCAGACAGUUUGUUUACAUGCAGCAGAGACCCCAUGUCGGGCAGGGUCUCAUCUUAGGAUCGCCCUUCAUAAAUAAUAGAUGAGAAAGCCAGAAUCACCUAGCUGACCCUACGUCGCCUUGGAGCCUCUGAUGUGCCAAGGACGAUGAGCUCCCAGAAGGAACACCCCACCUAGUCAGCCCCAACCCUUCAAACAUAACCUGUUACUCCAACCCUGAAACUCAACUGGAUUUGUCCUCAGACCAAGCCAUUCCUGGCCACUGCCACUUCUGUACACCGGACCAAGCAACGAGGAAGAAACCUUGCUUACAUACAGUAGUGGAUGUUUGCCGUUUCUGUGAUUAGAUGUUUUGUUAAACCCUCUUCCUAUUUCUUGGAGUUUAUCAUUCCUUCAUGUGUUUGUGUGGUUCCUUCAUGGUUUAUAAAAUAUAGUUCACUUAUCUAGUCAAAUUGCUUUCUGUAUGCCCAUAUUAGAGAUAUAUUAUUUUUGUAAUUUUAUUUAGAUGUUAUGCUAUCCUCAUUAGAUCAUUAUCAUUAUAUCUGCAAUGGAGAAGCUACCUAAAGUUUCCUCACGAUCUAACUCUCCUGUGAAGAGUACACGUAAGGGAGAUCAAAAAGUUCAGUUUUCUGAUGAAGCUGAUCUAAGGCUAAGAGGGAAUAAAGUAAGUGGUAAACCACCUGAAGUUCCGCGAGCUCCUCCAUAUGGCCGAAGUAGUAGUAGACUUAGUGGGAGCAGUAGUAUCAGCAGCAGCAGCAGCAGCAGUAGCUCUAGCACUAGCAGAGGGAGUAGUGGAGGAAGCAGUAGUUCUGCACUAGACCGGCCAUCUGGAAGGGUUAUUGACUCUUCAAAAUGGACUUCUUCACUGGACCGGAAACGAUCAGGGUCAGUAAGAAGCAAAAUCUCUGACCGUCCCCAAAGAAGUGAUAUUAGUAGAAGUCUUUCACUAGACAGAAGAAGAGCUGAAAACUCUCGCAGGGAAAGUGCAAGUCCUAAUAGUUCCAGUACGGAGAGAAAGAAAAGAGAAGGUGAAAGUAAAGAUGUCCAAAAUAAAGAGAGAAAAACAAAAACCAGAACACUGGGGCCAUCUCAUAGCAGAAGUUUCUCUGGGGAACGUCCAAAGCUUCUUGGUCGGCAGAAGAUAGCUCCUCCUUCUGUAUCCCAAGGUUUAAAAAGUGACCAACAUAAAAAGGAAAAUAUUUUAGAACAAAAACUCUCCUUACAAAAUGAUGAUAAAAACACAGGUAAAGUUUCUAGUCGCUUCAGUGUGGACUGGGCCGAGAGGAUGAAGCGUGCAGCCUCAAGGAGUCCUCACAGAAGUCAGCUAAAUGGAGAGGGAUCUGCAAGGGAAGAUAAGGAAAAUGAAAAGGUGAGAGAUAAAGGAAGAGGAGAAUCAAAAACUCAAGAUAAAAAGGAAAGGGGAAGAUCACUAAAACGAGAAAACAGGAGCAACAAGUAUUCGUCCAGUGGAAAGCAUAGGCAUGAAGAAAUGAUGACUAUUGAUGGUGAUGUAAUGUGGCUGGGCAGCGGCAGCAAAAAGAAUGGUUAUCUUCUCUUCAAUUAUGCCAACCUGGACGACCCUCCGAAAGAAUCCACUGCUAGAAAAUACAACCUGACAUUUAAAUUUUCCCAGUCAGAUUCAAAGCUCAUUCGCAUGCUGAUGGAGGCACAUGGCUUUACUGAAGUUGAGAGCAAUAGUUCCUUCUUCAACUUGUACUGGGGAAAUGCUCACUUUAACCCUAAUGAGAUUCGACAACUCCAAGAUUGGCAAAAGGUCAACCAUUUUCCAAGGUCUUCAGAGCUCACAAGAAAAGAUCGUUUAUAUAUGAACAUCAAACGAAUGCAACGGCAGUUUGGUGUCAAGCUCUUUGACUUCAUUCCAACCAGCUUUAUUCUACCUACAGAAUACAGGGAUUUUUGUGAUACUCACUUACGUGAACGGGGAACUUGGAUUGUUAAGCCAGUGGCCUCGUCACAAGGCAAGGGAAUAUACCUGGUCAGUCAGGUGGAUCAAGUUCCAGCAGAUGAGACCUCUUUAUUAUGCCGCUAUAUUGAAUCACCCUUGCUAGUGGAUGGGUACAAGUGUGAUCUCAGGUUAUAUGUUGGCGUAACAUCUCUAGAUCCACUUGUUGUAUAUCUGUAUGAAGAAGGAUUGGUGCGCCUGGCAACUGUUAAAUAUCAGCAUGGGAAGAAUUUAUGGAACCCCUGCAUUCAUCUCACAAAUUAUUCUGUUAAUAAAUUUCAUUCUAAUUAUGUUCAGAAUGAGGACCCAGAGGUAGACGAUCAAGGAAACAAGUGGUCUUUGAGUGCCUUUCUGCGCCAUUUAAAGAGUCAGGGAAUUGAUACUGGUGCCCUGAUGCGGUCUAUUGAAGAUGUCAUCAUCAAAUCUUUACUUGCUGCAUCCUAUCAGAUGAACACUGCAACAAAUAUGUUUGUUCCUCACAACCGUAACUGCUUUGAAUUAUAUGGGUUUGACAUUUUGAUUGACAGUCAGUUAAAACCGUGGGUGCUGGAAGUCAACUUAUCGCCAUCUUUGAACAUUGAUCAACCUCUGGAUUUGAAAAUAAAGUCAGCCAUGCUUGCUGACCUCUUCUCACUAGUUGGUAUCCAAGUUAUGAACCCUUGCACAGCUAAAAUAUCAUCACGUCCUUCUGUUUUUCGCAAGUUGCCAUUUUUGCGUUAUUCAACAGAUUCCUAUGAUCGAAGUCAGUAUGUACGUGGAGGUCCAAUUGUUCCCACUGCUGAGGAGCUGCGUAUUGUUCGGCAAGUUCGCGAAGAAUACGAACGAAAGGGGGGAUGGGCCCGUAUAUAUCCCACACCAGACUCUUGGUCACUUUACGGAGGUCUACAGGAAUAUGAAAGUCCGCUCAACUUGAUUCUUCAUUAUCAUCUGUACCCACAAAUUCCUCGCACCAACAGAUAUGGCAGAGUGACACCCAGUCGAAUGUCAGGUGUGUCUAGUAGUGGGCUGGCCUCCUCCCUGGAACGUCUCACCUGCUACGAGCGCGCUUUACCCAAAGGUCUUGCUUUCUUCAAGAACAAGAAAAACUUGGGUAGGCUACAACACCUCACUACAGCAAUAAGGUCCAGUAAGAAAGAUGAUAAGUCAAUUUGCCGAGAUAUGAAGCAAGUAAAAGCCAGUGUCAUGAAAGCUCUAGAAAAUGGACUUGCUCUCAGCAAAUACCAGGCUCGCAUGGCAUUCUCGGUAUACUUGCAACAUGUUCAGAGAAGACUCAUGAUUGGCUGUGAUGAAGAGAAACAAACAGAUCUUGUGUACCGAUUCCUUCGAUCAGCAUCUCGUACACUCCACACUCCCAUGAAUGUUCAGAACCCCAGUAAAACACUGCCAUCUGAAGCCCGUGCUGUUGUGAUUUCCAAGCAGCUUGGAGACUUCAUCCAAGCCUAUACUAAGGAAACUCAUAUAUACUUGGAUCAAGGAGCCUCCUCAUCGUGUUCUUCUCUGUCCUCUCAGUGCCCCACUACUGUUACCACUUCAUCUGAGCCAUCCACUCCACAUGUAACUUCCCCACCAUAUACCUCCACAUUAUCCCUCAACUCAGCACCUGCUGGAUCUUCAAUGUCUGCAUCUAUGAGUGCCUCAACUUCAUCCAUUGACAAUGCACCAGCAUCUGUAUGUGGUUCGACAACUUCCAUCAACAAUUCAGGUUGUGUCCCUAAAUCUGAAUCCUGUUCUCUUUGCAAUAGUCCCCCUCCUGUAAAGAAGUCAGAUUCCUCUACAUCAGUUAGCAGUCCUCCUCCAGUUACAGAAUCUCAUUCUUUGACUUUAGUUAACAGCUCAAAUUUUGUUUCUCUCUCUAGUUCGUCUGUGUCAGUUAAUAGCACUCCUUUUUAUCUGUCUGGGUCAACUACUUCAGUCAAUAGCCCACCUUCAGUGUCUCUAUCUGGCUCCUUUACAUCCAUUAAUAGUCCUCCUUCAAUUGCAUUUUCAGCUUCCUCCAAUUCCAUUAGCAGCCCACCAUCUGUGUCAAUUACUGGUUCCUCUACAUCAAUAAAUUUUCUACCUCCUUCUAAAACCCCUUCAUCUGUUUCAAUUUCAUCCCUCAACUCAGCAACUGAUAUUGGAGGUGAAAUAGUCACCUUGCCCCCAAGAGUGCGAAGAUUGAAGUCUGAUGGAGACACAGCAGGUCCCAUAAUAGAGGGAGAUGGCAGCAAAAUGUCUACAAGUUUAGAUUCAAGUGAUCUACAGAGGCAGACAAGUGAUGAGAGCAAUACUCAGCAGCAGCAGGCCAAGGAUGAGCACAUUACAAUGGAUCUGUACCGAGCCUUCAUGUCUAGUGCCGGAGAGUCUGAUCUUGAGGAGGUACUGGCUCUCCAAACACGGAUGCAUAAUUCUGCAGGAGUGUUCCUGGAAGCCUCCCGGAGAUCACGAUAUUCCUCGGGACAUCAUUCAGGUGGCAUCAUGUCCACUUCGUAUACCCCUACAACUGCCUCGUCAACCAGUAGUUCCAGGCCCCGCACUCCCACUGCCUCUCCUCAAGGAUCACCGCGCAGAAAUCGUAGAUCCCCUUCUACAGGGGGCCAUGCCCGGCCAACAGAGCCAGUGACAAUCGAGCCUCAGUCUCAUCAGGCAGAAAGUCGUCAGCCUGCUCACUCCGAGCAGGAGCAGGAGCCGCAAGAGCAGCAGCAAGAACAGCAGAAGCAAGGUAGAGGUGACAUGCCAGCUACUACCAUUGAUGCUACAACAUCUCAGUCUCCCUCAUCCUCAUUACAGCAGCCUCCUACCACCACUGCCUCAUCCUGCUGUCUUUUUGUCUCCUUCCAGCAAAUAUAAGAAAUGCUGCUGGAUUGACAGUAGAAGCUUUCAAGAGAGAACUUAGUACGUUCUAGCUGGAGUUACCAGAUCAACCUUGCAGUGAUGGCUAUGUUUUCAUGUGGGCUACAUUGACAAAAAUCUCAGAUCUGGCAAUCACCAAGGAAGACUGACCUCAGACCAGGCUGCAAUAGGAGAAGGACUCAAAAUCAUAUAUGAGUAAUCUACAGGUCCACGCAGGCCCGUUUCAAAACCGAAAACAAGCGGGAAACCAACCUGAGGAUGAGGAUGUUUUGACCACGCCCAAGCGAACCCACUCCAAGAUGACCCGACAGUGCAGGAAAAGAGGCCUGUUCCGCCAGUCCCAAACCCCCCCAAAAGAGGAGGGGCCACCCAAUACCAUCGCAGACCACAAGAAACGACCCGAUCGGACCCGCAAAUUGUGGGACCAGGCACGAGCAAACAUCGAGCGAGUUCCCACUCCCCCCUCCAUCGCCCUAUCAAUGGGAUGUACCAUGAAAGACGAAAGAAAGGGCACAACCCUUCCGGGAAGAUAUCCCCCCACCCAUGGGCUUCCUGGAGAACCAACAAGUCUGACAUGGGAUGGCAACUAGAAGCUGCUGCUUGCAGAUACUGCAUCAUCGCAGACUUGGACCCAGGAUCGUCUCUGAGCACCUCCACAUCCUCCUCGAGCGAGUCUGAAGACAGCUCUAGAAGGAAAAAGAAAUGCAAGACCGAAGCCAAAUGGCCACGGGCGUGCAAGUCCUUAGCAACCAGGGCAGCCAAAAGGGAGGGAACCUGCAUGUGAAGCUGUACCAAGCCAACAUCCCGCAAAAGGGCAGGGGUAAACAAACACGCAUUGAGGCACUCGAACUCUUUCCCCAGGUAAACCUGAACCACUGAAAGGGCCUCUUGCCACUCAAGUGUGCAGGACCGACAGAGCAACAACAAGCCCUGCUCAGAGGGUACCAAAACUCAAGCAGGGUCAAACGGGGCCCAAGGCCCCCCCUCCCAAGUCAGCCCCUCCCCUGCCCCGGGAACCUCCACACCAGAACCUGGGACCGAGCCGUCCUCCAAACCCUCCGCCUCGAAAGAAUAGGCAGAGGCCGCCGUAAAAGCCUGAAUGAAGGCAGCCCACUGGUCAGACCCAGAAGCACCGGCUGGAGGAACAGGCUCGAAUGCUUCCAUCGUCACACCGGAAGUGGCAUCUCCCUGAAACUGCCCGAGUCUGACCACCAACUAAACCCUGCCCGACUUAAAACCCUCAGACACUUUGGAUUUAGAGGGGAAGGGGGAACAGGACGAACAAUAGCAGCGGAAGGACGAGGGGGCUCGGACGAAACAAAGGUUGAGGCGACUAACACCCCCAAGUCCAAAUCCCUAUAACUAAAACAGGGCAGUCCCACAGCAUCCGGGUGAGCAACCAAUCUAGCGUGCUGCAGCAACCUAAAAUGUGCAUGCAAUGCUAAAGCUGCCUGCACCCGAAUACAGUAUCAAGAUCAGUGGAUUGGGUGAACUGGAGCACAAGCAAGCAACACCACUUGCAGGACUCAGAAUUGAAAGUGUCACUGACCCAACAGGCAGCAUGACAGAGGCACAUCUGAUGAAUGUGACCCUGAGACAAUAGGACAGAGCAACCUUCAAACUCACACAAAACGAGAUGGAACCCAGGGGAUGCAUCCAUCGGACCACUGAGCCCCAGUGGGGUUUUCCAGUGCCCUUAGAUGCUCUGCUAAGGGAAGCCCAGGCAAGGUAUUGCUAACUGGCGCCCCAAACUACCAAGGGAACUAAUAAUUGCUGAACCCUGUGAUGUGUGUACACACUGGGACCUAGCAGAGGACCACCAAUAAUACAAUUAGAUAAGGGUCAAUAACACCAAGGGCAGACCCUCCACCAGGCAGAAAACAAAAUAAAAAGAAAAACCCUGCAUGAGUACAUCAUCACAGGUGGAACAGAGCCGGCAGCUGUUAUAUGGUGAAAACUACCUGCACAGUACCUUGCGCCCCUACCAGUGAUGAAGAUACCUCCUACCUAGAGGCAAACAGGGGUGCAUGAAACACCCCAGCUGACUCCAAACACAUGAGCCGUCCUGGUUGUUGCACCGGGUGCUCUCUUCUCUUCGGUUUGUGGUGGCCCCCUUGGUUCAGGCUUGUUUUUCUACGGCUCUCUUCUUGUUGGCAUUGGCCUCUGGGGGGUUUGGGUCGGAGAGAUUCAUGCUCUCAUCCUGCGCAGGGGUUUCUGCUCUUUCGGUCUUGUGGUCUUUUCUUCGUUUACAGCCGUCUCCUUCUUUUCUGGAGAAAAACGAGUCUGCUGCUUUCUGAAGGGGUCCUUGGGUUGUUGAUGCUUGGUUGGUUCAACCGGGGGUGCAUCAUGGUUUGUGGCUCUUCGCCGUUAUUUGCACGCCACGGCCUCUGUGGCAGAAGACGUGCUUUGGGUUGAACCAGUUUCCUCUUCUUCCUUAUUCCAGGGCAUAGGUCUCCCAAAUUUUCCGCAGGAUUAUUCGGUCCAGCCAGCCUGCGGUCUAUCCCCGUGCCCACGCCAUUCGUAAGUUCAGCGUUCGGCUGCUAUUUUUGGUAAUAUGUCCUGGCCUAUCUUUCGAGCACGGGGCUUUUGGAGGUCGAACAGGGUCCUGGCUGCUCAUUACCUUGUUAAUAUUCCUAGUCCUUCUCGGGCGUGUAUUUAUUUUUAUUCAUUUAUUUAUAUACAAGAAGGUACGUUGGGGGUUAACAGAGAACAUAGAAAUUAAGUUUAUUUUACAUUCUUGUAAAGCCACUAGCACACACAGUGUUUCAGGCAAAACGAAACAAAAACGAAAAAAAAAUGUAUAGCCUUGGGUCGCAGGUUGCGGCCAGUGGUCUUGACUUUGAGUUGAGGAGCGAGUGACGACCACCUCCCGGGUGAGUCCCUUUUCAUCAUCUCUGGUUAGGUAGCUCCGGGGAGCCGAAGGGGCUCUCUACAGAAAACGA